CAGUCGCCGCGGUAAUACGAAGGGUGCAAGCGUUAAUCGGAAUUACUGGGCGUAAAGCGUGCGUAGGCGGUUUGUUAAGUCUGUUGUGAAAUCCCCGGGCUCAACCUGGGAAUGGCAAUGGAUACUGGCAAGCUAGAGUGUGUCAGAGGAUGGUGGAACUCCCGGUGUAGCGGCGAAAUGCGUAGAGAUCGGGAGGAACAUCAGUGGCGAAGGCGGCCAUCUGGGACAACACUGACGCUGAGGCACGAAAGCGUGGGGAGCAAACAGGAUUAGAUACCCGCGUAGUCCCUGUCUCUUAUAC
rnacentral:rRNA from 1 species